rnacentral:rRNA from 1 species
GAUGAACGCUAGCGGCAGGCUUAACACAUGCAAGUCGAGGGGUAUAGUUCUUCGGAACUAGAGACCGGCGCACGGGUGCGUAACGCGUAUGCAAUCUACCUUUUGCAGAGGGAUAGCCCAGAGAAAUUUGGAUUAAUACCUCAUAGUAUGUGAGAAUGGCAUCAUUUUCACAUUAAAGUCACAACGGCAAAAGAUGAGCAUGCGUCCCAUUAGCUUGUUGGUAAGGUAACGGCUUACCAAGGCAACGAUGGGUAGGGGUCCUGAGAGGGAUAUCCCCCACACUGGUACUGAGACACGGACCAGACUCCUACGUGAGGCAGCAGUGAGGAAUAUUGGACAAUGGGCGCAAGCCUGAUCCAUCCAUGCCGCGUGCAGGAUGACGGUCCUAUGGAUUGUAAACUGCUUUUGUACAGGAAGAAACACUGGUUCGUGAACCAGCUUGACGGUACUGUAAGAAUAAGGAUCGGCUAACUCCGUGCCAGCAGCCGCAGUAAGAC